rnacentral:rRNA from 1 species
UACGGAGGAUGCGAGCGUUAUCCGGAUUUAUUGGGUUUAAAGGGUGCGUAGGCGGACUGUCAAGUCAGCGGUAAAAUUGAGAGGCUCAACCUCUUCCCGCCGUUGAAACUGGUGGUCUUGAGUGGAUGAGAAGUACGCGGAAUGCGUGGUGUAGCGGUGAAAUGCAUAGAUAUCACCCAGAACUCCGAUUGCGAAGGCAGCGUACCGGCAUCCAACUGACGCUGAGGCACGAAAGCGUGGGGAUCAAACAGG